rnacentral:rRNA from 1 species
GACGAACGCUGGCGGCGUGCUUAACACAUGCAAGUCGAACGAUGAAGCUAGAGCUUGCUCUGGUGGAUUAGUGGCGAACGGGUGAGUAACACGUGAGCAAUCUGCCCUUGACUCUGGGAUAACUGCGGGAAACUGUAGCUAAUACCGGAUACCUUCACUGGAAGGCAUCUGCUGGUGAAGAAAGAAUUUCGGUCAAGGAUGAGCUCGCGGCCUAUCAGCUUGUCGGUGAGGUAACGGCUCACCAAGGCGACGACGGGUAGCCGGCCUGAGAGGGUGACCGGCCACACUGGGACUGAGACACGGCCCAGACUCCUACGGGAGGCAGCAGUGGGGAAUAUUGCACAAUGGGCGCAAGCCUGAUGCAGCAACGCCGCGUGAGGGAUGAAGGCCUUCGGGUUGUAAACCUCUUUUAGCAGGGAAGAAGCGAAAGUGACGGUACCUGCAGAAAAAGCACCGGCUAACUACGUGCCAGCCGCCGCGGUAA